CCGGUUAGGACCUUGCCGUCCCCUCCCCUUUGUGGUCGAGCAGGAGCGCAGGCAGGCGUUUCUCCGUGCGGUGGUUUCACUCUUGGAGUGGUCCGUCGCUUGGGGACGCUGUUGGCGCGGUGUUUUCCUGCGCAGGGGUGAUUCAGGCGGCUGGCGGCGAGUAGGUCGGUCACCCACCCGACCCGUCUUGAAACACGGACCAAGGAGUCUAACAUGUGCGCGAGUCAUUGGGUCUUGUUCAGGCCCAGAGGCGCAAUGAAAGUGAAGGCCUUCCCCGUGGUCGGCCGAGUUGGGACUCUCC
rnacentral:rRNA from 1 species